UACGUAGGGUGCAAGCGUUGUCCGGAAUUAUUGGGCGUAAAGAGCUCGUAGGCGGUCUGUCGCGUCGGCUGUGAAAACCCGGGGCUCAACCCCGGGCCUGCAGUCGAUACGGGCAGACUAGAGUGCGGUAGGGGAGACUGGAAUUCCUGGUGUAGCGGUGAAAUGCGCAGAUAUCAGGAGGAACACCGGUGGCGAAGGCGGGUCUCUGGGCCGUAACUGACGCUGAUGAGCGAAAGCGUGGGGAGCGAACAGG
rnacentral:rRNA from 1 species